GCCCGGUUAUCUAAGUUGGUUAGAGCGUCGUGCUUUUAACGCCAAGGUCGCGGGUUCGAUCCCCAUACGGGGCA